GGGUGAAAUCUGGUGGCGUUGAGUAAAUGGAUAGUAGUUUGAGACUUUUUUAGGCUAUUAAGGUUUGGGCAUAAAAUAGGAUUAGAUACCCUACUAUACUUAAUUUAAAAUAAAUUACUUGAGUAGUAAAUAGUUAUAGUCUGGAAACUUAAAAGAUUUGGCGGUAUUUUAGUCUUGUUAGAGGAACCUGUCCUGUAAACGAUAAACCACGAAUUAUCUUACCUUCUUUAGUUUAUAUUCAGUCUGUAUACCGCCAUUAUUAGAUAGGUUUUAUAAGAUCUAUUGUAAUAGAAAUUCUAGUAUAUUAGGUCAAGGUGCAGCCGAUAGGGAGGCUAGUGAUGGGUUACAAUAUUAUGUGUGUAAACGGAAAGAAUCAGGAAGUAUGAUGCUGGAAGGUGGAUUUAAUAGUAAUUUUUAUUUACCAUGAUAUUAUGAUAAAAGCUCUAGAAUAUGUA
rnacentral:rRNA from 1 species